GCGGCCGGAGGCGGCGGCAGAAGGAGCAGCGACGGCGGAUUCCGUUCUCCCGUCCUGCUGCUUCUCUUCCUCUUUGUUCUCGCUCCUUCGCUCUUCUUUGCGGCACGUGGCAGCAUCCGCGCCGCCCCCAUCUCUCCCGGUGAGUGGAGUCUUCUCUGUUCCUGUUUGAGAUUCGAUGGUUUUCUUGAGAUCUGGGUUUGGGAGCCCGUAGACGACUCAGAUCCAUGCUUCGUUGGUUGUGACCUGGAUGUUAUUUUCUUGAAGAUCCAAUGAGUGCGAUGUAUAUGAUUUUCCAAAUUUCGAAUUCUCUCACAAUGAUUUUGACUCAAAAAUCUUUAUGAAGCCUAAUUUAUCUCAAGAAAUCUCCUGAUUGCUGUUACAUGUCUAAGUUCAAAUGCUCAGGACGUCAGCGCAUGAACCGUAUAAUGUAUGCCUAAUCGUAGUUUAGCAUUGUUGUUAAGCAUGCAACAAACAGAGCCCAAGAAUUUGAAGGGUUAAGAUUUUGAAUUAGCUAUAUGCUACGUUAUACCGAUAUGUUAUAUGACAGCUGCUCAUGAACUAAGGGUUAAUGUGAAAUCAUCAAAUAAGCUUUCCUGUUUGGAGAGACUGCAUGAUUUGGCUUUGUUCGACCUACUUGAGAUGCAAGCCGCUUAAAUUUAUGUUUCCUCUUUAGUAUGUUGAAAUGAUGUAUGAUAAACAUUAUGUUUUAUCCAAACUUCGCAUAUGCCCCUUAUAAUUCUAUCCAUCAUAUAUACAAGAAAAGAAGUUGGUAACAUCUUGACACUUUUGUUAUUCUUUCAAGUACAAAAACAUGCUGAAAUUAUGAAGAUUCUUUAUCUUCAGUAUAUUUCCUUUAUAUCCUCAUCUAAUAUUUAGGGGGUGACUGAAAUCAUUAUACUGUGAAGAACAUCUCCAUUCAAGCUUGAACACCUAAGCAUGCUGCCAUCUAUAAAUUCUGUUUAGUCUUUCAACUAUCAUGUGACACUUAAAUAUUUAUGUAGUUAAGUAGGAGUCAUCAAGGGUCUCUAUUGUUUUCUGGACCAGUGUGGCUUAUACUUUUUCUUUUGCUACAGAAAAAGACCUUUGGUUUCUUGUUGCAAUUGACUUAAAACCAAUAUGCGGAGAAACAUGUAUCAGCCUUUUUAUUAUUGUAAAAAUGAUGUUUUAAGUGACAUGUAGCACACUAAUGCAUCAGUUAAGUGGCUAGUGAUGAAUUAAAAAGGGCAACUAAAUGAUGUACAUCAUUUCAAUAGGAUGAGAAUAACUUCCAAUCAAACCAUUGUAACUAUUGCUGUAAUUUCUUUUGAACUCUGAUGACUUGUUUGUUUCUGUAACAUCUUCCCAUCAUAGAAGAUUGUGUGAAGUUCACAAAUAUGAUUCAUUAAAAAUUAUUCAAAAAAAUGAAUUUGAAAAUUUAGAUGGGCUGCAUUAGGAGGACUUCACCAAGUAUUGAUAUCGACACAACUGAAUUUAUUGGAUUAUAUUCAGUUGGUUCCUAAUACAAAUAUUUUUAAUGGUAGCAAAUUCAAUCCCUUGUUCGUCUAGACUAUUUACCAUUUCUAACAAGAUGUUAAAGUUAGCUUCAUGAUUGCAUGCAUAAAAAAUUGUGAGCACUAAGGUGGACUCGCUUCCUGCCAGUAGCCCUUUUAGGUUCUAAGCAAGUUUCUCACAUGUCAUGAUUGUACCUAAGUAGGAUACAGAGCCAAAUUUUGCAGGCAAAUGCUAUUAUGUAUUAUAGUCAACCCAUUUAUGAUGGAUAAGGCUUGUUUGAUGCUGAUGAUGACGGGGACGCCGGGGAGUCCACAUUGCUGCCAUCGUCGAUCGAGGCUUGUUUGAUACUGUCCACAUCGCUGUCAUGCCUCCGGAUCGAUCGAGAUGCUGAAUGUGAUUGAAAAGUUAUCUAUAUACCUUUGAUCAGAGAGUUCUUCCUCUAACUUAGAUAUAAUCUUCCCUAAUUAGUCUCUCAAGCUUGAUUUAAUCCAUAAAUUACAGCUUUGUGAAGUUUUAAGAUAGUGCAAUGUGAGAAUAAGAGAAAGAAGGGAGUGACAAAGAGAUUGAGAGAGUAUAAGAGUUUGAGAGAGUGAAAGGGCGUGAAAGAGAGGAGGAAAGGGUUUAAAAAUCCUUUCAAAUGGAUUUGACUGUUGGAAAGGGUUAAAUUUGAGCCGUCGGUCGGUAGCGAUCGAAAUUCAAUCAUUACCGAUCGGUACAGGUCUUUAAUGGUCGGAUUUCGACUAUUACUGAAUGGUUUAGGCCCAUAUCAGGUGAUACAAAGUCUUUUAGUAAAUACCACCUUAUACAAGGUGGUCCACAUACCAGUCCCCUGUCGGACUGGUAUAUAUCAGGCGGUAUACCAUAGUACAAUGAACCCUGGUUUUAAUAAUCAAUUUUCUUUUACUAGACCAUGUAUUGUUGAGUUCUUUUGCUGUUUUUUAU
rnacentral:lncRNA from 1 species